GGUGCGCCCAGGUCUUCCUCCGACUCCAGCCUGGCGAGGUUUCUACUCAUUUUGCACUUCUGGGAAGUAUCCCUGUGUCUCUGAAAUGCUGGGAACUCGGUCAGCGUUUGACAGGGGCCUCCCACUGUGACACCUUGGCACCCCAGAGUGGAGGCCAGUGGGGUCUGACGUUCUCACAAGUCCAUGCACUGAGGGCAUGCUGGAAUCCCAGGGUUACUGGAGCCCACUGGCCUCCACCGUGUCCAAGCCCUGUCUGGGCCACAAGUCAGCACCUGACCCGUUCAACCUGGGUGACCAUUGAUCUGCUUUUACCUCCACGGACUGAUUCUACCUGUGCUGGAACUUCAUAUGGAUGGAAUCCUACAGUAUGCAGUUACGAGUCUAGCUGCUUCGCUCAACAUAAUGCUUUGGGGAUUCGUCUAGUUCAUGCACAGAUCAAUAGUUCAUUCUUUCCACAGACGAGGAGAUUUUCACUGAGUGAAUACACCAGGACUUGAUGCCUGGUGCUGGAGAUUUGUUUUCUUUGGUUUUAGACUAUUAUAAAUAAAGCUGUGGAUAUUUGUGCA